AGUAGCAGUGAUAGGUGGGGUAGCAGUGGUAGGUACAGUAGCAGUGGUAGGUACAGUAGCAGUGGUAGGUACAGUAGCAGUGGUAGGUACUGUAGCAGUGGUAGGUACUGUAGCAGUGGAAGGUACUGUAGCAGUGGUAGGUAGUGUAGCAGUGGUAGGUACAGUAGCAGUGGUAGGUACAGUAGCAGUGGUAGGUACAGUAGCAGUGGUAGGUACUGUAGCAGUGGUAGGUACUGUAGCAGUGGUAGGUACUGUAGCAGUGGUAGGUACAGUAGCAGUGGUAGGUACAGUAGCAGUGGUAGGUACAGUAGCAGUGGUAGGUACUGUAGCAGUGGAAGGUACUGUAGCAGUGGUAGGUACAGUAGCAGUGGUAGGUACUGUAGCAGUGGUAGGUACAGUAGCAGUGGUAGGUACAGUAGCAGUGGUAGGUACAGUAGCAGUGGUAG